rnacentral:lncRNA from 1 species
CUGAGUCUUCAAUCAUCAUGGGGAGGACAUAGUUAGAUAUAUUUCAUAAACAAAACCUUAAUAGUUGAACGAGGCCUGAUGGCACAAUGAUGACAAUACACAUUGAUAAAUAGCGGGACAUAUAGCACAAUUGCGAUGGUGGUACAGACAUUAUUCAGCUGACGUACCAAACAUGAGUGCGCACAUAUGUGUGCAUGCACACACAAACACAGCCUUAUUUAGUUUAUUACAAGAAGCAGAGAGAGCACAUUGUUUUCCUCCUUAAUUAUCUUUAUCGGUUUUCACUUGCCCAAGCAAGUCCUUUAGUCCGUCCUUACCAUCCCCCAAGCCACUCUUAUUGUUCACCUUUUUAUCAUUGCUCAAUUCCUUUGGGCUUUGGAACUUGAUUUCAUUGCUCACAGAUUGUGUAUCCUCUUUCGAUGACUUUUUCUCACCUGCGGGGUUAUCUUCUCUUUCUUCCUCCUCCUUGAAGUCUAGAAUGGCAAUGUUCUCUGGAAUAACAGAAGGAACUCUUCUGUGGCUCCACCGAGACAUUCUUACUACACUUCUAAAGCCUCCAAAGACUAUUGUCUAAAUAAAGAAGAAUUUGGUGAGCAGCUACCUCAGUUUUGUGAUGG